rnacentral:lncRNA from 1 species
AACUUUUAGUAUUGUUUCUCGUAUAGGCAUCAAAUUUUCUGCUGGGAUUGCAGCAUCCACCAGUUCCAAUACACUAACAAUAAUCCCAAAAGAACACGUUAAACAAGGAGAUACAUCGUAAAAUCACAAAAGCCAAUUUCUCUAAUGUCAUUCAAGAACUCUUAUUUUUUUUUUUUUGAGUUUAAAACAAAAGUUUCACUUCAGCACUUAAAAUUAUGAAACAAAGAUGGAUGUUGUUUUGAAAAAGUUAUAAUUGAAGGAUUAUCCCCCAUAAAUAGAAAAAAGGAACACAAUUGGUUUACAGGGGCCAAAAUUAUGUUCUUGUACAAUAAAAUUGAAUCAAAGAACUAACCAAAGAAUAAACAUAAGUGCCUGUUAGUUCAAAACAAAAUCCAAUCAGGAAAACUAGGGAAAUGCCUUUUUAUGAGAAAUCUGGCUGAAUGAGCUUUGAAAUCCACUCAAAAAGACUUUGAUAUAAGUUAGAUUGCUAUAAUCUUAUGGACAAACCAAAAGAACCACAGCUAAGGUCAAAGAAAACAAGUAAAAGAAAAGGAAAGGAAGUGGAAACUCAAGACUGGAUG